CAGGGGGCGGUAAUGCACUUGCCAGCCGCCUAUAAAACAAAGAAGAAGAAGAUUUGCAACAGUCAGGAAGCCUUUUAAAGUGACUCAGGGAUGUUGGAUUAGCGGAUUCAAUCGUGACAAAAACAUCAAAAGACACAUUUUUGAUGAUCGACCGCUGUCUGCUGUUCCCACGGUGACGAACGCGUCGGGUUUCCUGUGGCUGCUUCGCAACAAAAGAGAGUAAGGGAGUAGAAAAGAUGGAUUCUUUCUUUCUUUUGGACCAAGAUGGAAGAAAACACCUUCACAAACGUCCAGGAGACGGCGUGUGACAGAGUCAUUUGCAUUGAUAUGCUCGGAUUGAAGUGGAGAUAUGAAACACAGACGUCAAACUGCGACGAGAGAGCGACGGAGAUCCCUGGUGGUGUGGGACUUCUCGGGGACCCGGUGUCUAAUGAAAAGCACCGAGAGAUGUCUCCACCGGCAGACGGCAUGUGUCCUGAGUUGUUUCUUCAAGUGCAUGUGGGGAGUUUCAUGCUCGGUCGGAGAGAGGGAG